rnacentral:rRNA from 1 species
UACGAGGGGUGCAGGCGUUGCUCGGAAUUAUUGGGCGUAAAGGGUAGGUAGGUGGUCUCGUUUGUCUGGGGUGAAAGCCUUGAGCUUAACUCAAGAAGUGCCCUAGAAACGGCGAGACUAGAGUCUUGGAGAGGGUCGUGGAAUUCCCGGUGUAGCGGUGAAAUGCGGCAGAUAUCGGGAAGAACACCCGUGGCGAAAGGCGGCACUCUGGGACGGUACUGACGCUGAGACGCGAAAGCGUGGGGAGCGAACAGG